CACAGCGCACGCGCCGGGUCAGAUCAUCGGGAGUAUCCUGACUGUUCUAUCAGAUCUCCUAUGCCAUGGCAUGCUUUUUACUACCAAACUGCAGCCAUCUAGACACUCAGAGAAGGAUGAGAAGCUGCCCCCCAGCCAGAGGGACACAUCUGCCACCAAAUCCGUCGCUCACUGAAUUCUUACCUGAAGUGGAAUGAAGAAGCCCAUGUUCGAGGCCCGCGCCCUGGCUGGAGCAUUGAAGGGGCAUCUGACACGUGACAAGCUGCUCUAGCAUUGUGUACUGUGAUCACCACUAGUUCAGAGGUCCACUUCAUCCCCUGGAGCGUUAAUCUGCCAGGAGCCAACGGAAGCGCUCUACUCAAGUGCAUGUCAAGAGUAGGAAAAAAUGCUUAAGAUAAAGUUGUUCCUGUUUGGUCUUAAUUUAUCGAGAGGGAAGGAGCCAACCGCCUUGAGGAGUCCCUGCAUAAUAGACUAUUGGAUACAGAAGGGCUGUACUAAAGGAAGAUCUCAUCAAAGCAUCAUCCAAGCCCUAGUCAGAAGUAUAUGAGGCCUCUUAAGAGUAAAGAGCGGCUAACAAUAUCUGAUAUUAGGCCACAUGUGCAUUUAUUAUAUAUUUAAUUAAUGUACAACAUAC